rnacentral:lncRNA from 1 species
CGGCUGAAUAGAAAAAGGAGUGCGGAGCAGUUUAGUCGGCCCAUUCGAGUGGAUUUCAGGGUCAUGCAAAACCAUUCGUCAGCCACAUUUACAGGACAAUCAUUAACGCACAUUUUGUGGUACAAAACAGAUUUUCUGUUUCGACAGUCUCGUGAGAUCUCGUGGCACGACUUUGAAUGGAUGGAAAUGGAGUCAUGCAUGCCAAAUUUUAUUUCCCUAACUUGUAAAAUGAUGAAACACCACACGAAAAAUGAGUUCCGUCUCCCUUUUUACUACCCAAAAACCGCUUCCGUGUUUAACACAGAGCUUACGGGGAAACGGCUUUAGCGAAAAUCACUGCCGUUAGUUAUCUUUAAUCCCCUCCUCUUCCGUUUUUGUCUUAUAUUAAAGAGCUAAUUCUCUUCUACAAACCCAGUAAAAGAUUUUUGGAAGGGGGAAUUAGUUUUAAAGUUAUUAGAUUUUAUAUACAGCCCAUAUUUCCUGA